AGUUACUGUAGGGAGGAGAGAGCUGGAAGGCAGGACAGAAGCUACAUGUUGAAUCAAAGGAGAGAAGGCGGGAAUACAAAACCACUUCAUCGUGGAAAACACAAAGGGAGACAAUUUCAGUAAAUGCCAGAUGGUCAAAAUUAACCAGAGACGUGUAGAGCCCUACAUGUCCAACUGUUUGCUUUGGCAGAGAUUCUUCAGCUUUUCGAACAAGAGUCUCUGGGGCGCCCUUUUCUUCUCCUUGGCUUUCCUCCUCUCCUUUGCUCAUCCUUUGGACUCCUCACCCCACCCUUCUCCUCUGGCUGUUUUUCCUGCCUCUCCUCUCUCACUGCUGCCCAUGAGUCAUGUUGCACCUCAAAUGCCAGCUUGUGUUACGGCGAGGGGAGACCACUGCAAAGAAAUGUCCUCAUGCAACAACAGACUUGGAGGGCAUGCAAGGUGGUGGCUGCAGCUGUCAAGGACCACUGCCAGCACAGCCCUGUGGAAAUGCUGGAGCACUUCAACCCAGUGCUUGUUGUUGCUGUGGGUAUUAAUUUCUUCCUCCCCUCCCAAGGGCCUUGACUCAGCUUUGAUUUUUUUUUGUUUCAGCCAGGAAUCCAGAAGGAGUUCUUGCGGUUCAGUAAGCAGAGGAGCAUGCAUAAGUUGCUUACCAUGAUGGAGCAGUGGGAUGUAGUCUUAGUGGGGCAGGGGGAUGCAACCUUGUUGGGGCAGUGGGACAUGUCCUUGUUGGGGCAGUGGGACAUGGCCUUGCUGGGGCAGUGGGACAUGGCCUUGCAGGGGCAGUGGGAUGUAGUCUUGCUGGGCAGUGGGCCAUGGCUGUGUUGGUGCAGAAGGAUGCUGUCUUGUUGGGGCAGAGGGACACGGCGUUCUUGAAUCCAAGCCAACUGCAUGGCAUGUUCCUCCAAACAAUGCAAUCAAGAGGGCCCUUGUAUGGCACAGACGGAGAGCUCCAGCUAACGACGGGCUCUUUUGUGUGCGCGUGUGCUCUCUGCAUUUGAAACAUUUAUUAUUCCAAAUUGCCUUCUGCACAUUUUACAAUAAUUACGACUAGUGUUUGCCUUGUUAUCUCCACAGUUACUAACAAGAAUGCCAUCAUUAUUCCAGUCAUUAGCAAAAUGGAUGUUGUUGUCCAGAGUUGCCGGCUGUGGGCCUGCUUUCAGAAGGAGUCUCAUGCUCUCCAACCUUGCCUACUCCAUCUUUCUUCCAGGGGAAUAUUGUUCUCAGUAGGUUUGAACCUGAGCGGGCGGAGGGGAAGCAGAGAUUUCAUGAAGAAGAAUUGCUUUGAGGGAGUGCUGGUGGGUGUCAGGAUUCGCAGCAGUGAGCACUGGGAAUCUGUUAAUGGCAACAUUAGUAGGAACGAGAGUAAAGGCAGCCAUUUGCCCGUGUUCCUUGUGUAUUUGGUGUAUCUUAGGUCUGCUCCUGCUGCUAGGAUCCAGUAACUCUUCCUGUAAGAAUGUGUUGCUUGGAUGUGAAGAGAUGCUAUCGAUCUUACAAUGGAGGUUGCAGAUGAAGGAGAAAAGGUUGGAAUUAAGCCGACAGCACUCAGCUGCUGUAAGGUUUUGCCCAUUUCAGAGGAGGGAAGAGGAAGGAGAUUUGUAAUCCAGAAGCCUUCCAGUUCAUGUUCCAACGAAAAUGGAGAACUUCAGAUUUCAAGUCACGUGUAUCCUUUUCUUGAAAUCUACCAAAAAUAUUUACAGGUACCUGGUGACCACACGAAGCAGUUUGAUUUGGAAUAAUGUGUUUCAUACAAAGUCAGACUGUGGUUUGUUCUCAUUUUGGUAAAAAGGAAAAAAAAAGUAUUUUAUUAUACUUGGGGGAACCAGAGCUGUUGGUUAUCUAACUCACUGUGAGACCCCAGAGGAAAGAUCUGAUUUGCUUAGUGUGUAAAGACAAUAUGCACAAACACGGAGGCAAAUAGGAAGAAAGGUUUGUUUGUUUUCCCCCACGUGCUGAUGUUUGGAACUGUGACAUUCUUCCAUGGUUCGUCCUGAUGAGGCUUGGUUCCGUACUGCCAGGUUAACCAAGGAAUCACACUGGUUGUCCUUAGCUUAUAUAGCAAGCAAGGGAAAAAUAUAGGCAUUUUUUUUUCCUCCUUUCUAAAUACAAAUUAUUAAUUCAAAGAGAGUGGUAUAACUGUUCCCUGAUAUCUCACUUAAAUGCUAGCUAGCAGGCCUUUCUCGGUUCUACUUCUGAAAGAAAAACAAUUUUCAAUAGAAUUGUAUUUGUUGAAUGCUGAUUAAACUAAAUAGUAGAGUUUAUGUGGAAAAUAAGGUAGAAAAUUACAUGUGUGACUUACUGAUUUAAACUUUUGUGUAUCUUAGAAAAACAUCACCAGAUUAAACCGUGGCAGUGAUUAAAUAUAAUUCAUAAUACAGAUAAGAGGAUGAUGUUGCUUGUAAUGAAAGAAGAACUUUUCGUGUUUUACCAAACUUGGGUUACAAGAGAGCAAAUAAGACACACAUACAAGGAAAGACCCAAAUCUGCGACAGCACACGUCGUAUGUCUGUAUAUUCAAUUACCCCAACAUGUAAUAUGUAAAAGAUAGUAAGAUCUCCAAGUCUUGUGUCUAGUCAAAAGAAAAGGUGAACUCUGCUUCAGCUCAGCCCCUGAGACAAAAUUAGGGCAAUCUGGGUGAUCGGAUAGCCCAGAUUCAGAAAGGUGCCUAAUUCUUGGCCGGAAUCAUAGCACUCUUCUGGUUUGGGACAUCUAUAGAAGGCAAUCAGAUCCUCAGUACUUAUGGUUCCCAUCAAGAAAACCUGUUCUACUCCAUUCCUCCUCUCUGCCUUGCAGUGUGUGUUUCCUGUAGCAGCUUACUAAGCCUUGUAGCCUGGUUUCAUCAGCAUGCUGCUGAUAUGCAGCCCUACGCUGUGAGCUGAUACGACCCUGACCUCACAGGUACUGCGACCUUGUGCCUAGACAUCAGGCAUCUUUUGGUGGCUGAAACUCAGAUUAAGAUGGUGACAAUGGUGAGAGCUGGAGAAACUGCUUUACAUUUGCAGCUAUGAAUGAGGACAAACUGGAUUAGGGGUAAUGGCAUAGGAGGGAGGAUUCUUUGGAAUGGUGGCGGUGAAUGGAGGUUUGCUGCCUUUAACCUUUCCAGUUCCGUGCAUUUACUUUGCAUGUCUGUGAUCUCCCAUUGUGGUACAGGAUUUGCAGUGAGUCUGGGUGCUGGUGGAGAGCAGGCAUGGAGCUGUGCUGAACAUUUACUAUGGAAUAAUAAGGGAGGGCUAGUGGCCUUUCUUUCAUCUUAAUAUGAGUCAGCCAUUACCGAGGGACGUGGGCAGAGCUUCAGUGUUCUCCACUGGAAUUGCUUGGCCAUUGUAAAAGAGGGCAAAAGCUGGAGCUUCGGUAGGCUUGGAGCUUCUGCAAAUUGAGCUGCAAUGCUCUAGUGAUUCAUUUUGGUCUUCAGAAAGUGCUCGCUCAUCUUUGAGGCAAUAAGCCCAACUCCAGAAUCUGAUAAAUCUAUUUACAAACCCUUAAAUCUGAUAAUCUACCUUGGCUGAUAAUCCCAGGUGCCUGAAAGGAGACAAGACUACCAUCUGUCGGCAGCGUUUGUCCAUCUGUAGGGUAACCAGUGCUACAGAGCUUCCCCUGUUGUCCUGCAAAGCUUUGCUCUGCUAUGUGUGUGUGGCCUGGGAACAUCUGAACGUAUCCUUUGAGGGGCAUUGGACUUAGUGACUUCAGCAUCCUGUACCAACCCAGUGCCUUACUACUCCCGUUAUAGCACUGGUAUAGCAUCGCAGGGAGCAGAGACCCAGCUCCUGUCACGCUGGACUUUCCAUCCACCUCUCCGGACAUUGCAGAAUGGUGGCUUGCAUGAAGCCAGAGGCCAAGCUCUAUGGUCUGGAGCCUCACAGGGAGUCCUCCAAGUGAAGGAUGAGCCCUGAGCUGCAGGAGAGAUCUACUCCCACUAAACCAACCUCCCGAGGGGACUUACUUCGUUUGACUGGCUCCGUCAUCCUCAGGAGGAAACUUUCCUCUGCAAGAUGGUGAAAUAGUGCCCAUGUGGAAACGUUCUGACUGCAUGCGCCUGGAGUCCGGCAUUGUUGCAGAGGAGGAGGGCGGCAUAGGAUGGCUCCAAAGAAAAGAGGUCUGCAUCAGAAGGAAAACCUCCUGCCAUGCCAGCUUGCCCAGACCUAACGGUGAGACGGCCUUUCCCAGCUACAUUAAGGGCUGCUUCUUGUGGACUGGAAGUAUUGCCAAAGAGUGAGUGAUCCUUAUUAAUAUGCAUCUCCAAAAACAACAGGCAGUCUUGCACAGAUCCUCUCACACGUAUCUUUGGAUUUUGAGACAGUGGAGAGCUAUUUAUUCCCUCUCACACCAAUGUCAGCCAUAGCGCAAGAUGUCUUGAGCUGAUUAAAAAUCUCUUUAAUCAAAUGCUGGCAGGGGAAGUGUUCAGAAUGUUAGAAGGAUGACUUUGACAAGCUGCCCCUGCACUGUGAGUGACUUCAUCCAGAGGUUGGCCCGGCAGACUGGCGUGUGAUACAAAGCCUCCACUCACCUUGAUUUCCAAAGCUGCCAACAAACUGCAGUGACGAUGCUGAGAAGCCAGUAGGGCACUGUAGCCUGUGCUCAGUUCUUCUCCGUUAGAUACUGACCCCCCCAAAAAAAACCUUUGCUACAGGCAAAAUCCAUCACUCGAUUCAUCAACCCCUACCUACGCUUCAAAUUCCUAUAUCCCAAAUCCAUGGGAACGAUUUUGAACAUGAAUGUAGGCUGGAAAUCAUUGCUGUGCAGAUUGUCUGGAGGCUUUUUUUUCCCCCCUGUUCUAUGGCUGAACUGGACUUCAAAAGAAUAAAUAAAAUCCAUUCUGGUAGCACCCCCUCCUCCCCCCCCCAACCCCCCAGGAGGAGUGUACUUCUAUGGAGAAAGGGCAUAAAGAAACCUCCUGAUAUUUUAUUCAACCAGAAUUAAGUGUUUUGAUUUUGGGGAAUUCAGCUAAUUUUCUUACUCCUCAAAAUAGGUCAGCUUUGAAAUAGAAGAUGUCACGCUGUAACAAAAAAAGGGGAAUAGAUUUGUUUAGUGAAUGUAAGAUUAUACAUACAUACUUCUGGAAUUUUAACAAGCUUAUGAAUGGAAAGAAAGCAUCCAGGUUGUUUCUCAGUCAGUUAGACUUGGAUUUAGGACCGGUUUUCACUCUCCAUAAACUGCAUUUCUUUUUCACUUAGAAGAUCCCCUCCCACCACAAAAGCCCCUUCCCCUUUUGCCAUUGCUGGAAAUAAAUAGCCAUAAUAUAGCUGGAAUUAAUACAGCUACACUGAGUCAACUAAGUGCUGAAUUUUUCUUUCCCAAUGCUCUCCGGGCACCCAGACGUGCUCAAUAGGAAGUGUUGGCACUUGGGGCUACGUAUAGAAAACCAGGGUGUGUGCUGCUGGGGCUGUUAGGGAGGAAAUCUUGUGCCAGCAGCCCUCUGCUGUGGGCCUUCUCCAAGCUUUGUCUCUAUUCCCUCAUUCCUCUGCAGAUGUCCUAAGCCACAUUUUGCUUUCAUUAUGACAAAAAUUGUGCAAGAUACUCAUCUUCUUUUAUUUAUUUAUAUAUAUAUAUAUAUAUAUAUAUAUAUAUAUAUGUAUAUGUAUUUUGUAGCAUUUCUGUGUUCCUACACCUUCUCUCUUUGCGGCAUUGCUUGUGGACAUGUAAGUAGUAGGUUAGUUUCUAUUCUCACUCUGGGGGGUUGGGUUCCAAACUGUUUAUUGAGUAAUAAAAAGAGAAAAUGGCGAGUCAUUGCCCAGGGAUAAUGUGCUAAUAAUUUUAUGACUGGACAAAUGGUUGCAACAGCCCACAAAUGGCUGUAGGCAGGAAACCUGGUGUCUAUUGCUGACAGAGCCACCCCCAAGGAGAUAAAACCUCACUUUUGGUGAUCAAAGUUGAUGCAACAACUGUGAUCUAUUAAAAAUUACUUUGGAGAUGGGUAAGGCAAUCAUUAUUCCUCUUGGAGGAGAAGUGGCGGACAUAGACUUUUUGGGAAGUGUUUAGAAGAGAGCUCUACAUGGGAUGAAUGCAACAGACCACCGUGGCUGCUUGCGCUCGGAGCCACGCGGCGCGCAGCUGCAGGGCUGCAGGCUGGGGAUGCUUGGAGAAACAAAGAUUAAAGGGGGGUUAGUGCUAUCAGGCAAACACGAAUCAUCCCAGAGAUAACAAAGGGUUGAAGUUUAUUUAGCCACUAACCGUAUGGCACUCAAGUGCGUUAGCCUGGCUUGACUGCUGCAGAGCAUGGAGCCGGAAUGGCUGCUGCAGGGCGUACACCAGGAUACACCCUGUCCCACUCUGGGCUGAUGUCCCCUGUCUGAUUACUCAAGGAGGAUGUCCCCCUCCUGGGGAUGGGGCAGUUGUCCCAUCGGCACCAAUUUCUUCCCGCUGUUGUGGAGUUUGGUGGGGAAGGAUGAGCAGGGCCCUUGUGAGGUCUCUCUCUGCCCGUCUCCCAGCAGGCAGGAGGAGCUGUACCUCUUCCAAAGCCGCAGCAGAUCCAGCCCUCGAAGCGGGCAAGAAGCCAUGUGAUGGGGCGUAGCUGCUCGCAGCUGCCAAGACCUCACAUUUGUAUGUUAGUGAUGCAGAUAGGAUCUCAUAAACCCGUCUCCAUACUGCUUUACUGCUGAUUUAACGAUCAGAGGAAGAACUUGACUGUUUAUUAAAACAUUAGACAGUAAAGUUUAACAAUAGACAGUAAAGGGUUUUGUUUUUCCAUCCCUCUGAUUGUUAAAGCAACAACACAUAGGCCUGGAGAGGGGCCUGCUGCUAACCUCAGGAUGAUGGGAUGGGGCCAUGAAGCUCCUCCAGAAGGCAGGAUAGAGCAGCUGGCAUUCUGGCAAAUCCCAUAUCUGAAGAAGGAAAUCUGAUGUAGGGUAUGGGUGCGUGCCCCAUCACCGGAGGCGCUGAGGGCUGGGCUGGAUGGGGCCCUGGGCAGCCUGAGGUGGUGGGGGGCAGCCAGCCCAUGGCAGGGGUAGGACUGGGUGGGCUGUAAGGUCCCUUCCAACCCAACCAUUCUGUGAUUCUAUGAGUCUGACUGCGAGAAGGGGCAAUCCAAUUGCUCUGUGGGCAAGAGUCUCGUGGUAGGGCUCCUGUUGUUCAGCAGACCCACAAACACCGGCAAAGGGAGCAGAUGGAAACAAAACUCGCAAGGCAACAGCAUUAUUCAGGACAGUGCCAACAAAAGCUGACUGCGAAGAAACGCCGAAGGAUUGCAGCGUGCAGGUGAUGAAAUGGCAGAGGAAAUUCAUUGUUGGUAACUGCAGAUAGAGAAAAAUCAGCAGUGGCUGUACCCAUACAGCAGCACCAUCUCAAUGAGCUAUUGCCUCUCUGGAAGGAGGCUGUGGAGGCAAGGCAGGCUGUUUCUGGAAACGUCAGCAGUGAUCACAAAGGCAGUGGCCAUUCUAGGAGUUACGGAGGAAGAAAUGGAGAGUAAAACAGGCUGCCAUUGUGCUGCUGGGUGCAUCCACAGUGCAUCCCCAUCCGAGGUGCUGCCCCUGCUUCUGGUGGCCGUGUCUUGGGGCCAAGGGAAGAUGGAAGAGGAGUUACAGGGACUUCAUAGCAGGACCUCGAGAACUUGAGCUGAAGUGGACAGAUCUGGAGGAGAAGAUGAGAGGAAGAAAGCCCUGGGUGGCUUGGAGGAGUUGGACAUGGAGCUGGACAAGCAUCUGCUCUGUGUCUGUGCUGAUGCUAUUUAGAAACCCCAGCCUUGGCUCUGCUUGACAUUUGGUAAUGCUGAACUGGGACAGCACCCAAAAAACCCCAUCCGUGUUGGACCGUCAGUAAGAGGUGGCACAUCUGACCAAAACCACGUCGCCAUUUGCUUCCUUGACAGCACAUCCUACCUUAUCCCCUGUCCUUGUCCUGCUGACCCCCGUUCCCAGCCUCCCUUGCUCAAUUUCAGCAGCAUCUUGGGAGGCCCCUUCAGCUGCAAGCCCCUCGCUUGGGAAAGAAAGUGGGGUUGGAGGGGGGGGAUCAGAGCCCAGCUGUGGGCUGGGGCAGCAGGCGAGUGCUUUCCAAACGCUGACUGCUGUUGGUGUAUUUCUGCUGGUGAGGAUGCAGCUGGCAGCGUUUGUGUGCAUGCGUUUAUACACACACACACACACACACACAUACUCACCUCCACACGAGUACACGACUAAAAUACAUAUAUUUCCUCACCCCGCAUCUUUCUGCAAGCUGCAAAAAUACAAAAGAAUAAAAUUAAGUCUCUUAUCGCUGCUAAGUCAUCAGAAACUAAUAUUGCAUCUACCGGGCAGUUUUCCCCCUCCCCCCCCCCCGAACCAUCUCCACUUCGCAAUCCUAAUUCAAUGAUUCUUUCUGUAGCUCUUUACAUUCUAUUAUUUAUAAGAAACAAUAUUCAGCCCUCCCCUGACAGUGUUUGCAGGGCUGCGGGAAGCAGUGCGGCAGAAAGGUGGUAGAACAAUUUUGGUUAUGUUUCCAUAGCUACCUAGCUGCUAAAUGUGGUUUAUUCCAUUUUAAAGUCAACCAACACACACCCGCACGCACACGCACAAACCACCAGAUGAAGUGUAUUCAAACUAAUCCCUGGGCCGCCUAUUACAGCCUAAUAUCCCUGCCAUUUGUAUAUUUAAAGGGAUAGUUGCUGCAGAAAUAAAUGGCAGGGCAGCGCUCUCGCUGGCUAGAGCAGGAUGAUCAACAUAUUGUUUCUUUCUUGCUCUCCUCUCCGACGUGUGUGUUCCACUCCAUCCCUGUAAUAUUAUUAUGGAGAUUUUUACCGAGGGCUGAGAGCUGAGGAAGUCGGAGGUAGGAUGGUGUCCUCUCGUGGCAGUCAGCAUCUCUGCAGCCUGAUGGUAGCCGUGCCAAGAGAGAGCCGAGCCUGGGCUCUCCUGGGCAUGCACGGCUGUCUUAGGGACAAAACUCUUGGAGCAGAGCUUCCCACCUCCCCUAGUGCACCCAAAGACGAGGAGCCUCCUGCUUCUGCUCCACGCCAGGCUGGAGGCUGCUGCUUGCUCUUGCUUUCCCUGCGUGAAAGAAGAACCCUUGGGAAAGGAGUGGUGGGUACCAGCUUUGCAGAGCGGAGGAAGUUUGUCCCAUGGAAGUGAGCAUCUCUGAGCUGCCGUGGGUUGGUGGAGAACAUCUCAGAGCUUGUAAUCAGUGCCUCAUAAAUCACCGCUGACUGCCGGGAUCGCUUUGGCCGCUCUUCCCCAUCGUCCUGUCUGCAGGAAUGGGCUGCACGUUUCCACGUGGAUCGGGUCUGAAUUGGCUGUCUGAAUCCAGAGAUUAAAGAAACAGCAGCCUCUCUCUCUCCUGUAACUGGCCCGAGAAUCCAUGAGCAUCCUCAGAAGUCUGAAGAGAAUGGGCAUCCUGUCUAUAUCCAAGGCAGGUAAUCACUGUAAAGGUCCUUCCCUCAUCACAUCUCUGUUGUAACACCUUUUCCUCUGUAUUGAUCUGCCACAUUGCUACACCAGGGGACUCUUUGACAGCUGAAGUUUUUGGUAUGUCUGCAUGAUGUGAAGGUCCAGAAGGCCACCACUGGGGCUUCUGGUCACCACCCCAUCAGACCUGUGAGUAUGCAGGGAUCUGAAAUAAACUUUCUAAAAAUGAGUUUCUGCCCUCAUAAUUUGUGGUGGCUUUCUGCUAUUUAGACUUCUCAUCCCUUUUCAAGAUAAAAUAUCCUCAGAAAUGCCCAUAGUGGGUUUCCAGCACGCUUUCACCGUGCCUUCAGCAAUUUUGUGCAUGUUGACUCCCUGAGGUCACUACUACAGAUGCCUCACCAGUGUACUCAACAUGAGAAGACCAACGUUGCUUGAAACAUUACUCAGGGCCCCAGCAUAAUUAUACCAAUUACAGAGUCAGGCCCUGAGCUGUGCUUUCUGAUGCACACAUCUGCCACGCGGGCUUCAUUGCAUGUGCGGAUCCUGUCGCUAAUAAUGGAAGAUGCCCCAGUCUCUCCAGGGGCAACAGUCUCUGCUACAGGCAAGGUACUAAAUCACACUUGAAGUUUCUAGGCCAAAAUGUUUUACUUUUGUUUUAGAGGAAUAAAGUUCCAAACAAGUGUGAGGUGUAUUUCCAGGCCUGAUUAACCUGGCUCACCUGGUAAUGUGGAAAAAGGGGAGCAGCCUUGUGGGAGGUGGAAGCAGGACCAUCCUGUAGAGCUGGCAUAGAAAUGAUUAGGUGGAAUUAGUUUUUAAAAAAAAAAUAGGUCUUGAAGAGCACUCAAGAAAUGUGCAUGCCACCAUGCUCCAAUGUAGAUUUAACUCUUUCUAUAUCUGUUCAACCUCCCAACAGCAUCUUUGAAAGUACCAGCGAUUUCUCUGGUCAUGGGCCCUGCCAACCUUCAGUCUUACAAGUGCUGUGGGCCUUUGAGCCAGGAGAAGGCACAAAGCCAAUUUUAAUUAGUGGUAUUUUGCAAGCCUAGGUUGCUGGAUCUUGUUGAAUCAAUCUCUGUUGCCUCAGUUAAUCCAUGCCACAGUUGCAGCAGAUGGAAGCUCCUGCAGAAGGUGACACGAAGGGACUCUGGCAUUCAGGCCUGUAAGUCUUUCCCAUUUAGACAUCCCCUUGUCUCUCCCUUUCUUCUGUGCCCUUAUCCAAAGGAUCAAGGAUGUGGCUGCAGUGUGCACACUGUAGGGUGCAUGUCAGAGGGAUCCUCAUUCCUCCCAGCAUUGAGCAGCUAUGGUGAGAUGGCCCAUCAGGUCCCACUUUUGAGCUGUUCUACCCACCUCUUUCUGUCACGCAGAUGUCCUCAGAUUUGGUGACACAGCAAAAUCCUCUUUCCGCGUGGGAUGGCAGGUUGAGAAGCUGAUCUGGAUGCAACUUAUGCAUGCUGGGAACUUCUCAGAAAUUGUUGCACUUGUGAACGUGGGUACAGAAUAGGCUGCAUAGAGUCAAAGCUCCCUCCUGGGCUGCAAAGAAUGGCAGCGAGAAACAUUAAUAGCUUCUUCUGAAUGAGCGAGUGUGAAUGCUCGGAAGCCCAAUUAGUCUGUGACUUCUACAGAGGCCUCCCACAGAGGAGGACAAAAACAUGGAGCUGAAUGGGACAGAGGAUGAGAAAAGAACAAAAACUAAUGUUCUGCAGCUGAGCAAGCCCCUUAUUUGAGUCAGUGUGAGACCCAGGAGUCUAUGAACCUGCAGGACUUUUGUGAAGGAGUCUGACUCAGCUCGGUGGAGGUCCUGGCAGAAAGCCGGGGUGUGGAAGAGUCACACCAGUAGGUUGUCCUUGCUUUGGAAGGGCAUGCAGAAGGCGCUAUGGCAAAGUGCUGUGUGGGCUUCAAGGGAUCGGCCCUGCUCAUCUCACCUGGGCCUUGUGUGUGGACUGCUGGAAAGACAGGGACCGUGUCUGAGGCACUAUAGCAUGUGUGGAUACGAAGGAGGAAGUUGAGAAAGAGGUACUGAAGGGAAGCCACUGGGCUGCUGGCCUUGUGCUCAGGCCAUUUGGUUGGGGGCUAAAACCAUGCUAAUGGCUUCCAGCACCACUGCCCAGAGCAAUGCUAUUCACACCUACCCAUGUGAUUUCCUCCAGAGACCCUUGAAGUGCUUGAUGGUGUACUGAGGAAGGUUCUUGGAUUCCAAGGCAAGAAGCAAAGCCACUUGGUAUGCUCCCUCCAUCGUUCCAGUGAUGUCACUCCCAAGGGCCAAGUGUGAUAGAGACCCACCUCGUCUGUGCGGUUAGAGCUUCCUCUUCCAUUCAUCCCCAUCCUCAAGGCUAAAAGGCCCUUUGCUAAAUAGAAAAAAUACAAGCCUCGUGUCACUGAUAGUUUUAAAAUUAUAAUGGAAACCUUCCGUCAGUGGUGACACAAUUACCUGCCCAUUUUCCUGCUCCACCUCAUUAAAGGGAAAAUGUUACAAUUAAGGUACAGGCGGGAGGAACAGAUUAAUGUUCUGUUUCUAAUGCAUUGAUGAAUUGGCACUUAGUCAAGGGGUUUAAAAAUAUUAAACCCUUGCAAAAGCCAUCCCAAAAGAGAGUGUUCUCUGCUGAGGGGCACUUCUCAGUCUGGACUGUUGGUUAUCCAUAAUUCAUGUUAGGGGUAUGCAGUGGUGUUUGUAGUGGGAGUGGGAUUUGCUUAGAUUAGUCUGCUGGUGUUCCAUGGGGUGGUCAUGUGCUCCAUGGGGGAUCUUCUCUAGGUGUUUCCCUUCACAUAAAAUCAAAUUCUUUUUCAAUUUGUUCAGUGUAUUGUACAUAUAAUUGGACAUCAGCUGUUCUUAUUCUUGCUUUUCAAUCCCUUUUCUUUCCCUUUGGCAUGUCUUUGUUAGGCAUGGCUUUGUUCCACCGAAUGCAAAAUUGCUUCAGUUUUUUAUUCUUGUCUUCAUACCAGAUCCCAGCUGCAUGAAGGGGGUGAUGAGCCUGGCAGAGGCAUGGGCUGGGCCAUUGCCAGUCCCCAACCCCAGAUCCCAUUUGCCUUUGGGAACUCCCUGGCCCACCACCAGUGCCUCCCUGAGGAGCAGCGUCCACCUUCAGUGCACAGCCUGCACCUCUAAAGCUGCUCCAAGGGGGGGUAUGAAAAUCUAUACCCACAUUCUACACCCAACUCCAGCAUUUUCUAACCCAAUUUCAGAACCUUUUUGUGGUCUUGAGCUGAGACUUGGGGCCCGCCAUGCCCACAUUUGCUACACCGCCAGCAAGUCUCACCCCUCCUAUAAUGAAAAUGUCAUUAAUGAUAAAUAUUUAUAGGGAUGCUUAUCUUUAUAUUUACUACCUUGACCUUUAUCUAUUUGGAUUUUAUUUUAAAUUUUAUGCAGCUUGCCUUUGCCUCUUCCCAGCCGUGUGGUGCCGCAGAGCAAGGAGCUCUGCAACGGCUCCGAGAUCGCUGCAUUAUAAAUACGUGCACAGUACAUACAAUUACAGAACUUUAAUGUCUGGUAUAAUUACUGUCUGCAGUUUGCAUUAAUGCUCAGGGUGAUAUAGUGAAGCAAGCGGCUCAGACACUGCGAGAUGCACGUCCCGAGGGGCAAAGGAAAAUCAUUGCUUGCGAUCCUGCGAUUAAUUAUUGUGCCUUGUGUGGAGAGGCUGAGAUUUUUCCCAAGCACUUCUUGCACCCACUGUUGAUUGAAAUGCCUACGCAGGAACGGCACUGCUGCGCAUAGCCUGCAGGCUGGGCUGUGCUUUAUAAGCAAGCAAAGGUCUUCAGUUUUAUUCUUGUAAUGUUGCAAGGGAAAACUGAGGAAAACAGCAGGAAUGAGGAGGAGAACGUGAGUCAGUGCAUCUUAAAAAGUGAUGUGUGCUCACUUGCAGGAGGCUUCCUCCAUGUAUCACCUGGCCCAGGACCCAGGAGGGUGUGCCAGGAGAUGCUGGGAGCUCGCUCUGCUGCAGAGUUUAUUAUUGUUAAACUUAAUUAAUCACUUAAUUGAAUGAAAUUAUUGAUGGAAUUCAGAAGAUCCAUGGGGGCAACUGGAUCAGAACACCAGGGAUGCUCCAGGCUGAGCUGUGCAGGGCACCGACCUGUCACAGCUCCAUGGGUUCUUUGGGUUGGAUGCCAGUGUCACUGCCCACCACAAGAAAUGGGCUGAAAAGUAAAGGGCUUGCUUGUCUGCAGCUUGUCCUUGCUACUGUGUGGGUGUUAGAGCAGUGCAAGAGCAUACGUGUGUUGCUGAUGGCAGGGAAAUCAACCACCUCGAAUCACCCACACCAAAAAAAUGAAUGAAAACUCACUAGGUCAGCUGUUAUUUUUCGGUCACAGUGGCAUCAGAUGUGAACCCUCAUGGCUAAAUGUGCAAUCACAGCAAUUGAGUGGAUUCUGCCCAUCAGGGGCUGUGAGAGCUGAUGGGAAGAAGGAGGGAGAGGAGCCCUGGGAAAUUCUGUGUUGUUGUAGAAGGACAAGGAUGGAUGACAGGCUGCCUCCGGGUAAGGAGAUAUCCCAGUGCCAGUGCUGGGAGGGCUGAGGACCGGAUUUAGCCAAGGAAGCCAACAGCUAUCAAGGAGCAGAGCAGAUCCCAUGGCCACGUGGAGAAGGGAAUUCCCAAGGGACUGGUGUCUGGAAGCCUUGGUUGAGUCCCAUGGAUGCUUUUCAUUUGAGGAAGAGGGGGGGAAAAAAAGGGAAGAAAUGAGAUAAUUGGCUUGAUUGGGCUUUGCUGAAAAUCUAGAAAAGAAAAAAGGGAAGAGAAAGUGCUGAGACAGCUCCUUUCUGUGUCUUUGAACUUCAGGCUUUGAAAAGAGGUGUGGAAAAGCUUAAGGAAUUAACAAGGACUACUGGGAAAUCACUCGGGUGGAACUUUCAGGGCUCUCAGCUCAGAAAGAAAUAGGAAGAAAAUCCUUUGUACAUACAUAUACACGCAUGCAUACACUUAGAUACAUAUGUAGGUGAGAGCGUGACCUCUUCAGCCUGCCAUUAAUCUUCAUCUCCAAUGUUUUCAUGCUGCAUUAAUGACGGGUGUUGUUGGCAGGGUGGCUGGAAGGGCAAAAGCUGCAUUUCCCCACGCUGGGGGCUGCGGAGGAGGCAGAGGCAGAUACCUGGGGCUCCCUGGCAGCGCUUGCUGAAGAUCAGCCUUGAUCAGAACAGGUCUUCUCACAGGAAACAUCAACUUUUUGUCAAAAAAGCCUGAAGAUAAAUAUUCUUGGAUGAAAACCUAUAAAAAGCUCAGACUGACAAACUAUUUUUUUUAGGCACUUCUUUUUCUCCCAACAAGAAUAUAUCUGUCAAGAGAAACAGAUGUUCUCUAUGAAGAAUCUUCUUUAAUUACAAGUCUGUCAAAAAGAGAAAUCUUCAAGUGUCUCAAGCCUCAAAUCUGCGAAUGGCUUCAGCCCUGGGCAAGAAAUCACCCCUUUCCUGAGCAGCCCCAGUGCCCUUUCUCAGCUCUUGUCAUGUCAUCCCUGCAGCUGCACCAAUAAACUGGGCAUUUUUGGAGUUUAGUUUUCAGAUGAGCCCGCUUCAAAUCAAUGGAGCUGCUGCUUUUCGUGACUCCUGGGAAUAAGAUGGCGUGGAAACAACCCACGGCCAUGCCCAAAUAAGAAAACUAAAAGAAUUAUUGGUUUUGGUCAACCUGGAACAUGGCUCUUUUUGCCCUGACAUUUUCCUAGAGGAAAGUGAAACUCUUCAUCUACAGAUUCAAAAAGUCCCAAAGGCACUCUGUCAGACAUCUCCCAACGUGCUCUCUCAGUUAUUGCUGGAUGGAUCAGAAGUUCUCCAGGGAGCAGUGAAGAUGUUUUUGCGGGCUACAUAACCUCAAAGGCUGAAAAUACUCAAUUCCAGUGUCUGCUUCUUGCUUCCAGAGGAGAUAUCUGCUCUUUGUCUUCAUCUUCAUCGUCAUCAUCUUUGUCUUUGUCUUCAUCAUCUUUGUCUUCAUCUUUGUCUUUGCUUUGUCUUUGUCCUCCUUCUCCUUCUUUCUCUCUCUCCUCUUCCUCUUCCUUUUCCUCCUUCCUCCAGCUCCUAAAUCCCCACCUUCCCUCCUUUCCUUCUCCCCAUCAUGCAUUGCAUGCUGAAUGCAGGAGGCUCUCAAAGGCAAGAGUCGGCCUGGGACACUCUUACCCACAAUAGCAGUGGUGAACAGAACCCAGGUUUUCAGCCAGGAAAUUUCACUGGUAAUCUCCUGCGAGGGAGGCACUCCCAUUUUUCAUGAUGGUUGGCCCUUGCGGGAUAUGGAUGAAAAGAGAAAGCAUUUCAUUUGCUCUUUGAAAACUGGAGCUAUAGAUCAAGGCCCUGCUCAGUCCCCUGAAGACUAGAAAUGGGAUUUUUGCAAGAAUUGAGGCUAUCCUCUCUGAAAACUAAAACAGUUAUCUACACUUUCAUCGAGAGGUCAGCAGUAGAGAUUUUUCUCCAACAGCUGGAUAAAUCCAGGCUGUUAGUGCCUCUCCUUCCCACUGUUCUCUGUUAUUGCUUUUCAUUACGUGAAGGGUGAGGAACAAGCAAAUACCUCUGCUUUCUAGCUUUGCCCUUGCCCGUUUGUACAAAGCAGCCAAACAUUUCCUUCUGACACUCAGGACCCAAGCACCUUUGGUGUCUGAUAUUUCUCCUUGGAUGCCGUGGUCUGGAUGCAGUUGCUCAGGGCUGCUUAAUCCUACCAGAUGGCAUAGAAAUGUUAUUUUUUGGACACAGGCACUCCUCUUGCCGGGUAUGGGUGCCACGGGACCAGGGCAUCCUUUGUCACCUGGACCCAUUGUGAUCUCCUGUAACACUGGGCAGGAGGGUUUGCGGAAUCACGCUGCAUCCUGCGUCCCUGAGCCUUGCAGCCAUAAAUCCUUUGCCUCUGCCACAACUGUGAUUGAGCCUGCCUGGCUUAAUUUAUUUCUCCAGAGCCCACACAGUUAUGGUAGAGAUGAUUGCCUGCUCAAGGAGCAGCACUUGGGAUGAAAUCUUUUCCUCUUGAGAGUGCUGCUGGAAAAACAAGGCAGUGUCCGUGAGCUGCCAGCAAUCCCCAUGUAGGCAUUGUCUUUGCUUGGCCACUUCUUUGCGGUGCUCUCAUCCUUCCUGACCUCUCCCCUUCUCUCCCUUCCUUUAAGUCCUUUUCUCUCUGUUUCAUUUCUACCUAUGUCUCUUCCUCUUCAGGUUCCUCGCUAGGCACUGGAGCUGAUUGCAGUGGUGAUCCAGCAAAUCACAGUAGUGAUGCUGCUGAUGGAAUAACUCCUUGGGGUUCCACGCGGUUGCUGUGCGGGCACUGAGUUUCAAACUGCAGAAAAGGAGCAGGAAAGCCUGAUAUUUGGGUGCAUCAACUGGAGCUUUCAUCCCCACCCCAGGGAGAUGGGUUUUGGAGCCCUAGCAGUCUGCCCACCCUAUGGACAUGGCCAGAUACCCCCAGUUCCUUCCCAAGCACUGCUACCCAGAGAGGUGCUCUGUCCUGGCUAUGGGAGUUGAGCACGAAUAACUCACAAAUAAUGGAAAUCCCCACCAUGUGCCCCCAGCAUUGGCACGGCUCAGAGCCCUGCAAGAAGCGCGCUGCCUUGUUUGUCACCUGAAGCACUUGGAAAAAUUACACAAAUCCAUCAAUGUAAUGAAUCUUCUCAGCAGUGGCGAAUAGACAGAGACAGACAGGCACUCAGCUGAAACAAGUCAUCUUUAAAAAUUAAUACAAAAUAAACAGCUGGCCUUUCGCUCCGCUUCCAGGUGGUGGCUGCGUGGUUUGGGCGAGGGCUGGGCAGGGAUCAAUGAUGGUUCCCAAUGGGAUCACGUCCCUGGGGCAGGGAAGUGUCCUCUGCCGUGUCCCUGUCACUGUCACAGUGUCACCUCCAUCUGCUGCUGCUCCAGGAAUGGUGGUGCAGCGCGGCAGUCAGUGUUGCACUGCGUGAGUGACUGCUUAAGAAACAGCCAAAUCUUUGGGAAUGCCAAAGCCUCAUCACCUCCCUACAGCCUUGCCAGGCUUCUGCCAGCCCUCUGGGCUCUCACAUCAGUUUGUCAGUGUCUGAUGGAGCUUGUACACUCCUCAGAGGACAGGCUGAGCUUGCUCUCCUGCUUGUCACGAUGUGGGCUCCAUAAAUAAUUAACAGCGGUGCUGCUUCUGCCCUCGAGCUUUCAUUUCAUUACCCAGGAAUAACAUACCCACCUAUAUACGUGUGUAUGUACAUGUCUGCGUGUAAUACGCAUCCAUAUGUACUUACAUUGCUUAAACAUCUGUUUCACCGGCCAGCCUCUCUGCUUUUCCUUCGGCCAUGGCUCUGUCUCCCUGCUGGUCCCAAGGGCAGGCAAGCAGCAGAAGGCGCUGCUCUCGACCGUGAGCAUCCCACCAGUGCUCCAGCUGCUCCUGCUCUGAGGCCAGGCUAUUUACGAGGUACCCAUGGGGCUGCCCUUGCCCUGCAGAGUGUGGGGAUGGAGAGCGGGGAGGAAGACGGAUGGAUCCUGAAUUGAGGUGAAUUUAUGGGGCUUUGCGAUUCCUGCUGCUGUAUGUCUCCGAGAAAUGACACCGCCACUUCAGGAGCAGAGAUUAAUCUGAGCCGGCAGGAGAAGGACAAAACAAAUCAUCUACUGCAGGAAUCUCAUUUGAUGCCUGUUAGUAAAAGCACUGCGAUGAAUGGCUUUUGUAAAGACCGCGUAGUACAGGCUUUUUUUUUUUCCUCCCUUUUCUCCAUUCGUCUGCAAAUUGAGGUCUGUGAGGUGUGUGGUGGAGGCACCCCAGGGUCACUCAUGGCCAGGCACAGGACAAGGACUCCCAGCAGCUUUGUGCACUGUGAGACAGGAGAGCAAAAAAGGGAAGGCAGAGCUCCCAGCGCGUCGUACCCAAGGAAGGAAUCCUUCGCUUUUGUUUUUAAAAGGGCAUUGAUUCUCACGUCCUGCAGAACACGGGGUCGGGGCAGCCUGCAGCCCCAGACAGAACAUCCCAGUGCUGCUCUGCAUCCCAGCCAGCAGCAGCUGGAUGCGGCCCAGUGGGAGCAGUACCAGCACCGAGCACUCCUCCCGCACGCCGCUGUGCAUCCCAGCUCAAUACAGAAUCAAUUGGAUUGAUCUUUUUUUAAGGUGCAGCCUCCGAACGGCUGAGACUGUGAGAGACGUGGCUAAGCACGCACUUCCACAAAAUAAUUUGUCAGGCCCCGCUGUAGAAACCUAAUGAUGGCUGUAAUUUAUUGCUGACAGACGAUAUUUAUCACCGCAGCAUCCCCUCUUUCUCUUCCUCUGUCUCGUUAGGAAUGGCAUCAAUAAUGUUUAUUGUAGCUUUUAAUUUUUUAUCGCUGGUAUUCUUACCUGUGCUGCUGAGGGCUGCAGGAGAUGGGAAAGGCGUCAGAGCAGAUGGAGGCUCAGCUCUGUGCUGAAGGGUGAGCGAUGAAGGCUGGAAGUUCCUCCUGCGUGCCCAUGCAGGGAGCGUGCAGUGCCAGAGAGCACCCCGAUAGCAGGGAAAAGUGAGCUGUUCCCAUAAAGCUUACUCCCUCUCUUCUGAGCCUUUGGACCUGUGCAAGGGAUGCUCAGACCCAGCAAAGCAGUGGCAUUGCUUUGGUUUUCCCCAGACGCUGCUCCCACGUGGGGCUGGAGAAGGAACAUCACCCCUCCGCUGCUGCACCUGCAUUGCUGCGAUCAUCUCACACCUGAUGAUGCCCACAAGCCCUGUGGUCACAGUUCUUGUCCCUGAAAGCAACCAAAACCCCAACUCCAAUCCUGAAAUCUCCUUUUUUUCCCCUCGUUUUCCUACAGUUUUUCCUACCCUUGAGGAAAUGUGCUGCACCAGGUUGUGAUGCCCUAUAAACCAGCACUUCCCAGAGGGGAUUUCUUCCCCCUUUCCAGACGUGAAUAAUUACCCAGGCAGAGGCUGUUCCAGCCUCGUUACAGGAGCCUCUCAGACUAGCCGGUCAUUUACAGAUUAGAUAGAUGUUGCCCACGUUGUUCAUAACUGAUUAUGGGAUUGGCAGUUUGGCUCUCACCCAAAAUUCAGAGUCCUGAUUUAGCAUAAUUGGAAGUGAAUGGCGGAGCAGGCUGGGGGAUGGGGAUGGUGCCUGCUGCUGAUUUCCUAAUGCCGGCUUUGGGGAUCCCUGACAAGCUGCGGAGUGCUCUUUAUAGGGCAAUAACGUUUACGGUGUGGGUUGUCUGGGGGAGGAACUCCUGUGAUGGCAGCAGCCACCUCCUGCACGUCCCAGAUCGAAGCUGGAGAAAUCAAGAAUACCAGAAAAGCAACGAGGAUGAUAUUAAAAAGUAAUCCCUUCUGUGUCAAGGUGUGGGCUUUUUUGCUUAUAGAAAUUGUUCUUCUGCAUUAAUCUA